rnacentral:rRNA from 1 species
UACGGAGGGGGCGAGCGUUGUUCGGAUUUACUGGGCGUAAAGGGCGCGUAGGCGGCUCAUUUUGUCAGGCGUGAAAGCCCCGGGCUUAACCUGGGAACUGCGUUUGAUACGGAUGGGCUAGAGUUCGGGAGAGGAGAGUGGAAUUCCCAGUGUAGAGGUGAAAUUCGUAGAUAUUGGGAAGAACACCGGUGGCGAAGGCGGCUCUCUGGACCGAGACUGACGCUGAGGCGCGAAAGCGUGGGGAGCAAACAGG